UAUCCACCGCCGGUUUCCCACGCCUAAACAAUCUGUGUGUGGCUCUCGCUCCGUUUUUUUUCUUUUUUUCUUUUUAUCAUAAUUCUAUGAAUUCACCAACCCUUUUGUUGAAUUCAAUCUGAUUUCACUUCGCUCUAUCCAAUUUUGAAGUCAUUGCAUGGAAUUCCCCCAAACGACGGCGAUUUGUGGUUGUGCAUAAACAGUGUGUUUUGGAUUCCUGACUUGAUGAGAUUCCCAUGCCUUUAUUAGAUAUUGCUAUUUCACAACCUUGCUCUUGUUUCCUCAACAAUAUAGGAGUAUCAUUUAAGUCAGUAAUCGAUCUUCCUAAGAGAAUUGUAGUUGGCAAUGAUAGGAGGCUGGUAUUGGGAUCCACAUUUUCAGGGAGGAACUUUUGUAAUGGAGGAAGAGUGGGUGGAGACUUUGCCUCGGGAAGAGCCGGGGUGUGGCAGGGUCGGUUGAUGAUAAAGGCUGUUGGUACGCUCGAAAUUGUUAGUGUACCUUGCAAAAGUGGAGGGGUGAAGAGGCUUCAAAAUGCAUUGAUGAUGGAUGUUGAUUCUGUGAGGUCGAGUUCCACUGAAAUUGAAGCGGCACAAUCUUCAAGUGAAGACUCAACGGACGUGGAUGAGAGGGAGAGGUUGAGACGGAUGAGGAUUUCCAAGGCGAAUAAAGGGAAUACGCCGUGGAACAAAGGCAAGAAGCACAGCCCAGAAACUUUGAGGCGGAUAAAAGAAAGAACAAGGCUGGCAAUGCAAAAUCCUAAGGUCAAAGCCAAGCUGAUUAAUUUUGGGCAUGCUCAAAGUGAAGAGACAAGGUUGAAAAUUGGAGCUGGUGUUCGACUUGGAUGGGAGAAACGCCGUGAGAAAUUGAUGGUCCAGGAUACUUGCUACUAUGACUGGCAAAAUCUAAUUGCGGAGAGUGCCCGGAAGGGUCUUCAAGGCGAGGAACAAUUGCAGUGGGACUCAUACAAGAUCUUGGAUAAAGAGCUCCAGCAGCAAUGGCAACAGAGUGUCGAAAAAAGAAAAAGCAUGCCUAGACCAAAGGGAAGCAAGAGAGCACCCAAAUCAGCUGCGCAGAAGAGGAAGAUCUCAGAGGCCAUAGCUGCAAAAUGGGCUGAUCCUGAUUACCGGACUCGGGUCUACUCUGGUCUAGCUAAAUAUCAUGGCAAACCUGAGGGGAAAGAAUGGAAGCCUAAGAGAAAGCCUGCUGGUGACGGACAGGCUCAAAGUAGAGGUCGCAAAGACAAGGAUGAGAAUGAUGCUGCUGCAAGACGCAGGACGAAAAACCUAAAUCAACCAAUUAGAGCAAAGAGAAGAAAAGCACCAUCAUACAAGGACCCGUUGGCUAGCACCAAACUGGAGAUGUUGAAAAACAUUCGAGCCAAGAGAGCUGUUGCUGUCAACAACCCGAAAAUUGAAGCCAUCAAUAAUGCCAAGUCGUUGAUUGCAGAAGCCGAGAAGGCAGCCAAGGCGCUUGAAAUAGCUGCUAAGACUAGUCCUCUCGCUCAUGCUUCGUUGAUGGAAAGCAGGAUGCUGAUCGCGGAAGCACAUAAGCUCAUUGAAUCCAUAGAGCUCGAAGAUGCAACAACAUCUAUAGAAGAAGAUAAUAGGGAAACUCCAAAUCUUGAAAACGAGGCGUAUGCAGAUGAGAAAAAUAUGGAACACAUAAAGCCCGUGAUAGUAAACGGAGUCCACAGCAUCUCUGACGAUCCUGAAGAAACCGAUAGCUUCAGUUUCGAUGAGUUCAUUUUUGCAGAUUUCAUCAAUGGCAACAGCUCAAGUCCUUACCCUCUUGAAAUGGAAGAAAAUGGGCCUAAUGGCUCUGUCUCAUCAGUUUUAGAUAGCAUGAUGAACAGCUCUGAUUCGACCAAGAAUCGUGUCGAUCAUAAACCAAAUCCUAAUGGGAGCUCAAUUCAUACACAAACUUCGGUCAUGAAGGGACCGGAGCUCCGACAUGAGAAUGUAGAGGCAGAGAAGAAAGGGGCGAACGUGGUCAAGAAAUGGGUUCGUGGGAGACUCGUUGAAGUUGAAGAAGAAGAAGAUACAUCUUAGGCAAAGGUCGUUUAACAAUGGGAAUCAAAUGCAAGGGGUGUUUCCUUCUAACAGUGACGCCAAAGGCCUCCUCCAUAUCCAAAUCUUCAUGUUUCAUCCCGUUCGGCAUUUUCCAAUCAAAAUGAUACAGAAGCAUAGCAAGCGGAAGCUCUACGUUUGCCAGACCAAAUGACACACCAGGACACAUUCUCCUUCCUGAACCAAAAGGUAUAUAUUCUAGAUUGUUGCCUUUGAAAUCAACUGAGCUCUCCUCAAAUCUCUCUGGUAUAAACUUCUCUGCAUCGUUCCAAUACUCGGGAUCCCUUCCCAGUGCCCAUGCAUUCACUAUCACUCUGGUUUUUGCUGGGAUUUCGUAUCCAUCAAUUUCACAUCUUUCAACGUUCAUUCUCGGGAUUAAAAGUGGAAGCGGAGGGUGCAACCUCAAUGUCUCUUUGAUGAUUAAUCUCAGGGUUUCUCAUCAUCUCUGACAUUGCCCAUUCCACGUUGAUGGUUGACGUGUCGGUUCCACCUACGAACAUAUUCUAAACCAGACAAGAAGUACUCAAGGAUGAGAAUUUCAACCCCAUAAUUAUUUCUCAUUACAAAGAACAUCCACCAGAUCUUCCACCUCACCACCAUCACCACCGGCUUUAUGCUGCUCGAUGAUGCUAUCGAACAGCUUGUCUAAUUUUCGAUACAUCCGUUGGGUCUUAAACUUGGCUCCGGUGAUCAACGGAAGCAAGUUGAUGGACGGAUAGAGAUCGGCCAACAUGAAUCCCGUCGCCAACUGGAUACUUUCUUGGAUUAUAGAAGUCACCGUUCUGCGCUCAUUCGUCUUGCCCCCGACCACCACCCUCGUUGUAACGUCGAACGACGUCAAGUAGAGUAUUUCUGAAAGAUCAGCCGGAGAUCCUAUUCUUUCACAAGAAGCGAUCUGUUUGCAGAGACUCAAAGUCUCCUCUUCUCUUAUGCGGCGGAAGGACUGCACGCGUCUGGCGCUUAGGAGCUCGAGUGUGCAGAUCUUCCGCAGCUGGCGCCACUGGUCCCCGUAGGGGGCUAGGACGAUGUCGGAGUAAUUGUAGGUGAGUUUGUCCGUCACCAGCCCCGGGGGCCGGUUGGCGAAGUUGAUAUCGUGAGUUCUCACCACCAGUUUGGCGAAGUUGACGGAGGAGAUGAUGACGGAGUGGAUUUCGCCGAGCUGGAGAUGCAUCAAGGGCCCGUGUUUGGCUGCGAGUUGGCGGAAGAUGUGGUGGGGCGGGGCGGGGCGGAUCAUGAGGUGGAGGUUUCCGAUGAGGGGGAGGGUUUUGGGGCCUGGGAUGUGUGAGUAAGUCUUUGCAUGUUUUGAGAUUGUUUGAGAUUUGAGAAACAUCCACACAAAGAGGAGAAAAGAAAGUAGAGGUAUUAGUAUAUUGUUAAAAAGCUCCAUAGUGUUUAA